GAGAGUAUAGCUCAGUGGUAGAGCAUAUGCUUAGCAUGCAGGAGGUCAUGGGUUCAAUCCCCAAUACCUCCA
rnacentral:tRNA from 1 species